UUCACGAAAUUAUCAACGGUUACGUAAAAUAUUUAAUCGAAGUCAAAAGAUGAAGUAAAUAAUUAUGAAUAUAUGAAGAGAGUGAAAAGGAUUGUGAAAUCGAUAAAGAAUCAGCUAAACCGAUUGCAUGAAGCUAUUUCUAUCGUAGGGCAACCGCAAGCAAUUAAAAUAUGUUAUUUGUGAUGUUUGUACCAAAGUGGAGUACUAUAUAUGGCCGUAAGUAAGUAAUGAACAGAAACAAGCACAAAAAAAAACGCUCUGAGAAUGGCGGUAGGCGAUAACCGGCAUUUAUUACGAUGAUAAGAAUUCAAAUGUAGCAGUUUACAAAAACAAGCGCAAAAAGUGAAAGUAAGUUAAAGUUCUGUUGAGAAAAGUCCGCAUGAAAGAUCGCUCAGUAAAGAAAGAGAGAAUGUAUGGAAGAAAAAUAGUAACAUUUCUCUCGAAUUUCAUCGCAUUGCGCAAUAAUAAGCAAAAGAAUGUUUUAGUGCAAGUAAAAUGGUGGUCGUUGAAUAAGAAAGAAAGAAGAUACGGUCAACGGAGGCAAAACAAUGUGACGUUCUACGGAAGAAAAAUGCACGCAGAGGAAAUAGUGAGAAGCACUAAGAUUAUGACAACGGAUCGAUUCAAAUAAAAGGUUAGAGCGAUUGAGAGAAAGAAGAAUGAACGAUCACAUAAAAAAAUGAGGACUGUGUGUUCUGUGAGAAUUUUAACAAGAUAAAUGUAAUAAAAUCAAAUGAAAUAAUGUUUUAGGAGAGUAAAUAUGGAUAAUGAAAUUGUAUACAGUUUAUGCCGUUUUAGGAAAUGAGAAAAUAAGAAAUUCAAGUAGCUUAUGGGAAUUAAAAUAUGUACAGUCAGAAUUUGUGAACAAAGAUAAGAAAAGUGAUUCUGUGAAUCGGGACAAACAAGUUAUAAGCAAGCGAAUGGUUAUGUUAUCAGCGACAGGGGUUAUCAAUUCGGGAUGAUUAAUGCUAUUAAUAAUUAUAUAUAUAAUUAGAUGCGUUGGGAUGCGAUCGCUCAGUCUUUAUUGAGUACUGUUAAUCAAAACAAUGGUUAUCAUCCGAGGAGUUCUGAUUCUAUUAAUUAUACUGACCAAUUAUUAUAUAGGAAUCAUGUGUUCAUUCAUUAUAACAAAAUAUGAUGAUCAAAAUAAGAUCGAAAAACUUCCAUCAUCAAAAAAUUGUCCUACUAAUCCAGAUUUUUGUGAAAUCAAGACAGAAGCACCUUUGGAGAGAAAGUGCUUUGAAAUAUGUCACAAUUCGGGAUAUAAUUGGUAUAUAUGGAACAUCUUUAAUUGUUGUUGUUGUUAUAAUCGAUAAACGAAAUAUGCAGACAAUUAUUUGUUGACAUUAUUCAAGUUCAUGAAGUAAAGUUAAAAUCAAUGAUAUUGUAACGAAUAAAAUACAUUCGGAGAGAGUGUUGGAAUUAGAAUUUGCAUAAUUUCGAGUGAAUGUAAUGUUGUAAUGAAAUUAAAUGAGCUGAAAGUAGAAUUCAAUAUAAAAUUAAAACAACUGAAACAAGCCAGAAAGUGAUCAAGAUAGUAAAAGCCAUUAAAACAGUGAGAGAAGCUGAAAGAGCUACAGAAUUAAUUAGGACUACACAAACUGUCUGAAACAACUUUCCACACUCACAGAUUUUGAUAAUCCUAAAUUAAUGAAAACUAUGGCACAAACGAUUGGGACAUCCCAGUUUCGAGAAGAUGAAGAAGGUCAAAGACAAAAUUGGUGAAUUUGAAGAGCCCACGUGUAAAAUAGAGAGAGAGAUAGCUGUAUAUUUGGCAAAUAUACAGUAGUAAGAAAACGAGCGAUAAGCGUGAUGUGAUGAACAAAUAAAAAUCACCUAUGCUAAAAGAGCUGAGACCAUAGACAUUCGGAUAAAAUUCAAGUAAGAAUGAAUUCUCAAUUUAUUUAAAAAGGGAGAGUGUUGAGAAAUAAGUUUUAAAUAAAUUGUGAAUUUGUGAUAAGGCUAAUUGCUGUUUGUAACUAAUUCAUGACCAUAUUAGGUCACAUUGAAUGUUCUAGAGUAAACACAAAACUGUAUAAAUAGCAAGUAAGAAGCUCAAUAAAGUUUAGUUUUUUUUAUUAAACUCAACAUUCCUGACUAAACCACGAUGAAUCUAGGACUAUAAUUUUUUUUUAAUUAUCCAUGACCAAAAAUUAACCAAGUGCCAGUACUCCCAGCCCUUGGAAAAAUUAAUGCACUAAGUUAAGUAAAAUUCCAAAAAUUUCAAGUGUACAAUUAAUUUUGACUUUAUUUUAUUUUAUUUUAUUUAACACCGCCAAGCUCCGGCUGAAUAUAUUAUAAAAGAAUAGAGGUGUGGCCGGAAAAGAGUGCAAGACUGUUACAUCAAUUUUUGUUUCAGUUAUUUAAGUAUAAAUCGAGGAAUGACAAUGAUAAUAGGUAAUGUCACAUUAUGAUUAAAAUGGAUAAGAAUCGUUUACUUGGGCUCUAGAAUUCUCGACUAUGUUUGCUUAGAAAAUAUUUUUGUAUGUUACAAUAUUUUAGUUAUGUUUCAGGGCUACUAAAUUAUUUUUUUAAUGUUUUAAAUUGGUCGUGGGUCUUUUUCCCAACAAUUAUUAUUUUAUUUAAGAAUGAAUGAUAAUUGAGAAUGUCACUAUGGGUUGUAUGGAGUAAAGUGGGGAAUCUACAUAUAAAGAUCCGUCGCGUAGGUUGAACCCUUUUAAAAACAACUCACGAUCUUCAUGUUGGCUUAAGUGGGCCAAAUGAAGUAAAAAUAUUGCGUUCCAAUUUACUGUGCAUAUCUCCGCCCAGGGGCCAACACAACACUAUAAAAUGAGUAAGGACCGUACGGGAAGAAAUAAGAGAGGUGAAGCAGGAAGCAUAAAUGUCAUUGACCCGUUGAAUUAGCGGUUCAAAACAACACUUCGUUCUGUUUUAUCAAUUUUCACACUUUUCCAUUUGUUCCCGAAGCGGCUCAAUAAAUCAUCCAUUUCGCAUUGAGGAUGUAAGCAGAAACCAAAGCUUUUCAAUAAUGGCAGCUCGUCAAUCAAAGUAAAUAUUUGUUCAGUUUCGACAAAACUAUUCAAAACAAUUUUGCUAAUCGUUCGAUGAUUGCCAAUGAAUCGGAGUAAUUCAGGGAAUGGUAUAGACACAGUGAGCUCUUCAAGUUGAUCAAACGUCAUCGGGAUUUUUGAUUCUGCGUUUAAAACAUUUAAUUGAAUCGAUAAUCUCUUCACACUUGCUAAGUGUAUUCUACCAGCAUCGAAGUCGAGAUCUCUAUUUUCACCACGCCAAAUGAUUUUCAAUGAAUCUAACUCUGGUAAAUCGCGAAUAAUUUCAAAAAUCUCUGCAUCCCAACAGUUAUAAAUAAAAAUCUUCCGUAACUGUGGAUUCAAACGAAGAACCGCUGCAAUAUUUUCGGCUUGAAAACUUGUUGAUGAUGCGCCAAUCGAUAACACCCUCAAAUUGGGAAAAUGUUGUCCGAUACCCUUGGGAUCAGAUACUUUACAGUCUUCCAAUCCUAGAAAGCGCAAUUUGGGGAACAGCUCAUUAAAUUGUGUCAACUUGUUCUGCAAUUCACAGUUGCAUAUUGCCACUGCUUCAAUAUUUGGGAAUGUCUUUUCCAUGUGUUCUUCACAUCAUUCAAAAGGGCAACUCCACAUAAGGUUGCGGCACAAUAAUCGCUUACGUAUCUAUAAAGCUCGCUGUGACAAAUUGUAGAAAUUUUCUGAUGGUCGAUCACCAGAUUCGAAAUUAUGUGGCCAAAAAUGCGCAGUAAUUGAAAACACAUCUUCGAAUGUUCAACCGCUAUUUUUCCGCUAAUUCUAUAUAUGAAAUGAAUAGAUGUAUCUCGGAGAAACACACAUGUGUUCCCAUAUUUCAGCUUGUAAAACCGUUCUGCUUCUGCUUUCAACGAUUUACAUGUGUCGGCCAUGUUCAGUAGAUCACCUAAUUUCAAGUAUUCGAAUAUUUUCUCAAGAAAAUCAAAUCCAAGGUCAACGAGAGUCACUGUACCACUUCCAUCUUCAUCAUCGUCAGUUCGUGCUCUUUUUGCUGGUGGAGUUUGGUUGCUGUCUUCGUUAAUUUGAUCAGACAUUUUGGGUGUUUGUGCAAGUCAAAAGGCUUUGAAUAUGAUUUCAAAACGUUUUUUAUAAGUCGAACUGUAUUUCACAAAAAUAAUGUUUACCUUUCAAAAUGUGAGUUAUUUUUUAUGAACUUUUCGAAACAAGAUUUAUCGUUCUUGUUGUAAAAUUGAAGGCUUUCACUCCGGAAUAUUGUUCGAAAAUCCCUUAUGCUUUCUCUUUGAAUCUAACAAUAAUGUUUUCUUCUGCUUUCAAUAUUUGAAUAAAUCACCAGAGAUAAUUUAAGCAACACGCGUUUCACCUUCAAUAAUCUGUUCACUACUGUGUUCAAUGUACAUUUUUCUGGUUAUUUAUAAUGACAAAAAAAACCAAACAAACGACUUACAAAGCAAGAAAAAUCCAAGCAUUCUCAAAUACUGAUACCUGAAUGUUUCUCGUUAUUCAAGUAGAUUAUAUCAGCCUACGUAUGCCGUGGUUAGUUCAAAAGAUCAGAUUAAUAGAAGAUAGAAGUCAUUUCCUGGUAUACUUGAAUUACUAUAUUUUGACUCAUUAGUUGAGUAGAUUCACGCCAAACCAAAUAUAAUCCAGACAAAAAUAAUUUUGUGAUUAUAAUCCAACAUACAAUUGCCAUCGAUGACAUGGACUACGUUCAACUGGAACGUCGGAACAACCACUAUGACUGACGUCUCAACAACUUACCGCAAUUGCUAAAUCCACAGCGAAACUUUCAAUUUCAAAACCAAUCAGGAGGCAACGAAAGAACCAAUAUGACGAUAUUGGACUUUGAAUUACAUUUGGAAAGUCACAGUAUAACCAGCCCGAGCAAACGUCAAAAUGGCUACACGAAAGUCACCUCGUAUGAAUGAGCCACCAGCCGAAGAAGGAAAAGUGAACGAUCAUCCAAACGCUGGCGCUGUUGCCGAAGACGUUGCCAUCGAAGAACCAAAACCUCCCAUUUUCAACCUCGUCAACGAUUGCUGCUAUGCAAUUUUGGAUUUCCUGUCAUUGACAGAUCUACGCUCAUUUGGUCAUACGUGCAAAUGGGCCCAACAAAUUGCUGCCAACUUCUACCAAAUGAACCAUUCAGCGAUUGUAAAUAUGUACGGUUUCAUCACUAAAUGGCCCUGAUGUCUUUUAUCUCGAAAACACGCAAAAAAUACGCAUUUGGGGAAAGGACUUAGAUCAAUAUCGCAACGCUAAAUCAUACUGCAAUGAACCGAUCAAGCAAAUCCACUUGGGAGAAACCACAACAUCAUUUGCGAAUGUCAAUUGUCUCAAAAAGUUUCUACGCAUAGUCGAACGUGUGAAACUGGAUAAUUGUACAAUCAAUGGCGAUUUCUACAGAAAUUUUCUCAAAUUUUGUACCAACAUGAAGGUACUUUGUGUUGCUUAUGGAUAUCGUCGCAAUCCGAUUGGGGAUCACAUUUUGAUUGGUGCCAACAAUGGAUGGUUGACUCGAAAAUACCCGAACCUCAAACAUUCGGAAGUUACUCGUGGUAUCGCUCGAAAAGUCGAUGAGCUGAAGACAUUUUUCGAACAAAAUCCAAACAAACGUAGCUUUGCCACUGACUCUACAUUCUUUGAAGAGAAUCGGGACUUGUUUAGAACGACAAACAUCAAAUUGGAUACGUUGGCGUUUCGGUUUGAUGGGUAUUAUUUCUCGGCCAUUCAUGACAACUUGAACUCACUCCAUGGACAAUUGGACAUGGUGUUUUCCAACGAUUGCACUGGUAUAACAAUGAGGUAUCUUCUGAUUAUGUCGCGUCAUUGAAUGGGUUAGAAAAAUUGUCAGUUGGUUAUUGGCGUGCUAAAGAUUGUGCUACCAUUUCACCACUUUUGGUCAACAUCAAAGAAUUGAGAAUCCGUUACCGUAUUGGAGGGUCAACUAUAGAAGCUACAGCUCGAAUUCUGGUGAACCUCGAACAUGUUUAUCUCGGUGUACCAAAUUCCGAAGUAAUUGUGUCGCUCAUUCGUCACUCAGCCAAAUUGGAGAAAAUCAAGGUCGAAUAUAGUGAUCAAUUACCAAAUAGCACUAAAGACGGCCUUGAUCUCGCGGCAUGGAAUAAGGAGCGUGAAAAAUUGUCUGGAGCACGAAAAGUGACGAUUUAUGUUCCGGAAAACGUAUACUUGGCAACAAAGUGGACAACGAGAGAAACGGACUACACUCUCAUCCAGUUGAAACGAGGAAAGUCAUACGAUUGGAGCGAAAAUUUCUUCGUUUUGUGAUAAUUUAGAAAUAAAUGGAGGUGUUCCAAUAACAAAACCAAUUUCACGAACUUCGAUACUUCAAACUUCAAUUUUUGCAGACAUUCUUUGACAAAAGCGAGAACUUCCAAUUUGGAUCAUUUAUUUAGGAAAUAAUGUUCGUCAUUUUCUAUUACACAAAUAUUCAAAACCUAUAUAACGAUUCAAAUGAUUUAAUAACCACUUGUUCAGUUUGACUUUGUAAAACGUGUUCGGCUUGGAACAUAAUUAUGUGCGUAAUACAUUUGUCAUAAUACAUUUACGUUAUAUACGUAAUAUUCCGAAUAAAUGUGCUCAA